UACUUCGUCUGGUAAUUGGCGCCAAACAUUCCACUACUUCAAUACCCCGUAUGGUAUGAGGAUGAACCACAUCUCACAAACCUUACUGGUAAGGGACUUUUCAGCUCCAUUCGACUAAGGUGACAUUCAUGGUAGGGUUUUCUAUGUACCAGAAGCAUCCGCCCUUUUUCGGGUACCCAGUAAGUCUUUCACAUACAUAUUUCCAUCAACAUAACAACUAACCACGCAAUACCAAUAUCUCAUUGUAUAUUCUUAUAUCAAUAAAACGACAUUUAAGCAGGGGAUUUAACUUAUCAUAACCAAUAACCGAGUAAUCAGAUAACCAGAUAAAUCAUGUAAGAAGGAAAAAAUUAACCCAGA
rnacentral:lncRNA from 1 species